GUCAUUGAACCAGAUCGUUUUGUUGUUAAGGCUGUGAACCAUUCCAGCAAUUCGUUUAACUUUUAGUUAAAAUUUGACAGUUCGAUGGUUAUUUUCCCAUCGUGGUUAAAAUUUUAGUCCAAAGCCGACCCAUUUGAGUUUUGACAGAUUGAUAGUGUAGUAUCUACUGUUAUUUCUAAUGAUACCUAUUAAUAGAUAAACCUUGGUAACAAGGGUCGUGAGAGCUUUCACAUAUAGCUCACGACUGUAAAAGCUUUACUCAUAACAUGUACGAUACGAAGCAGAGAAUAAACCUCAUUAGUAUUGAGACUGGCAAUCAGAGACAACGUGUUUCCUUUCAAGCGUCGAUACUACAUUUUGGCGACGAGGAACCAAAAAUGGCGAAUUCAUUUGACAUGAUUCGGUCGUUGGGACUGCAGAUGCAGCCGUUCGAUUAUACUGCUCAUACCGACGAUGUCGGUGUUGAAUGGAGCAAGUGGCUCAGAUCGUUCGAAACAAUGAUUCGAGCUAGUCGGGUAGACGAUGAAGACUGGAAGAGAGAUUUAUUGCUACACUUCGCCGGUUCGAGCAUCCAACAACUUUUCUAUACAUUGCCCGAGUUGGCCGGUGCCGAAUUUCGCGGACCUCUACUAAACAUCGAACAUUACACACCGAAUAUGACAAACUAUGAGGAAGCACGCGCCAGAUUGAAUGAGUUUUUUAUGCCAAAGGAGAACACCACAUAUGAACGUCACUUACUGCGCCAGAUGAGACAACGAUCCGGGGAAAAUAUUGAUGCAUUCACCAUCAGAUUGAGAGUCCAAGCGGAGCGGUGCGGAUUUGGUGACCGAACGGAGGAAAACAUAAAAGACCAAAUUAUACAGAACUGCCAAUCGGCUGCGCUGCGCCGGGAUCUAUUAAAGCGAGGUGAUGCGAGUCUGGAGGAAAUUUUGAGCAUUGCAAAAAUUUUCGAAACCGUUGCACAGCAGGAGAAAUCUUUUGCUGUUAAUGAAAUUUCGAAACCAAACAUCAGCGAAGUCAACAAAAUUGAUGCAAAGCGAUCUUUUGCCAUGCGUAAACGGCAUGCUGAAAUGGUGCAGUUUGAAUGUCAUCGUUGUGGAUACAGUGGACAUCUAGCAAGAGAUGCGAAUUGCCCUGCCAAAGGAAAGGCAUGCAACCGAUGUGGAGGCAAAGACCAUUUUGCCAGAAAGUGCCGCAGAAACAAGAAUUUGAUAAGAGCAAAUAGCUACCGAUGGAUUGGAAAUCGGCGGGACGACAGAGACAACAAAACUGCCGAACAAAGUCGUUCCGAUGAUGACUCAAACACUGUGAAACAAAUAACUGACGAGAAAAUAGAAUACGUGUUCAAUGUAACCACUAGCGACAGUGACGGUGAAAUCCAGUGUGAGAUCGGAGGAGUACUUGUUCAUGCAGUGAUCGACUCCGGUUCCAAAUACAAUUUGUUGAGCCAAAAAGAUUGGGAAACACUGAAAACCAACAAAGUGAGAGUGUCAAAUCAACGACGAGAAACAUCGAAAUCCUUCAAGGCCUAUGGAGGUCAACCCCUGGCACUACUGGGCGUAUUUACAGCAAUGAUCAAGCUAUGCAACGUAACUGGACUGGCAGAGUUCUACGUAAUAGAAGGUCACGGCAAAAUCCUUAUCGGUCGCGACACUGCAACAUCAAUGGGGGUUCUAAAAAUUAAUAUUCCUGUGAACGAAAUAAAGCUGAAUGCAAGCACUUGGGUACUAUCAAGGGAAUUGUGGUAGACAUUCCCAUCAAGGCCGAUGUUGCACCUGUUGUACAACCGUACAGACGCAUACCAGUGGCAUUGGAAGAAAGAGUUGAUAAGAAAAUUGACGAGUUACUCAGCCAAGGCGUUAUCGAACCAGUGAAUGAACCAUCCAAAUGGGUCUCCCCGGUGGUCGUGGUUCCCAAAGGAGACGACAUUCGAAUUUGUGUGGAUAUGCGACGUGCCAACGAGGCGGUAGAGAGAGAGAAUCACCCCUUACCGACUUUCGAGGAUUUUCUUCCUCAACUGGCAAAAGCGAAAGUUUUCUCUCGGAUCGAUGUGAAGCACGCUUUCCAUCAGGUUGAAAUAUCGGAAAAGUCGAGGGAGAUUACAACUUUUGUUACGCGCAGAGGAUUGUUUCGAUACACCCGACUUAUGUUUGGGAUCAACUGCGCGCCAGAAUUGUUCCAAAAGGCAAUGGAACAGGUUCUGAGCGGAUGCGAUGGGUGCAUGGUGUACAUUGAUGAUGCUAUUGUGUACGGGUCUGAUCAUGAGGAGCACAAUAUGAGAUUAGAAAAAGUUCUUCUCAAACUAAAAGAAUGGAAUGUAGCACUAAACGAGGAAAA